rnacentral:lncRNA from 1 species
UCCUCCAUCUCACCCGACUACAUUUCCCACCUACGGCAUUCUCCCCUUCCUUCCUUCCUUUGUGCCUGUCUCCUACUUUCUUUCAGGAAAGUGCCUUUCAGGAGUGCCUUUCCCUGGUGCCCAGCUUGCAUAGGUUCCCCAUGUUAAGACACUCCAUCCUAAGAGUUACAUGAGAGAGAACAUGCAGUUUGUCCCUUUGGGGCCUCGGUUACCUCAGAACAAAAGAGAAGAAAGGGGAAUUGGGGAAGACUUGUGUGAGAGGGUUCUGGGAAGAGAGGAAGGGCCAAUGUUGGGAUGUAAAGGGAAUAAAUUAAUUUUAAAAAAAGAAUUUGAAGCAGGGGGCUGGAGAAAUGGCUUAGCAGUUUAGAGCAUGUGUUGUCCUUGUAGAGGCCCCAGAUUCAAUUCCCAGCAUCCAUACAGUGGCUCACAGCAAUCUGUAAUUCCAGUUCCAGAGGAGGCAAUACCACCUUCUAACCUCCUUUGGCCUUGGUAUCCAUGCAUAUAAGCAGGCACAACACUUGUACUCAUAAAAAUAAAUCUUUUAAAAAACGUAAUUUGGGGGCCAGAGAGAAGGAUCAGCAGUUAAGAGCACUGGCUGUUGGGCUGGAGAGAUGGCUCAGUGGUUAAGAGCACCGGCUGCUCUUCCAGAGGUCACCCACGUGGCAGCUCAUAACUGUGUGUAAUGCCAGUUACAGCCCACAUGCAAGCAAAACAAUGCAUGUAAAAUAAGUAUAAAUCAUUAAAAGAUAAACAAUUUGGAGAUUGUAGAAACGGCUCAGCAAUU